CCGCCCAGAGGUAAACGGGUGGAUCCGCAAAGUCGGUCCGCGGAAUUCAGCGCGGCGCGCGGUCCGGGGCUGCCGCUGUUUGGGAUCCUCUGGGAAUCAGCAGCGGUGUCGAGCCGGACCCCGCCGCGUGCACUUUCCGCGGACAGAGAGCCACAACCGGUUUGGUGGCGGUCACAAGCCCGGAGGGUUGUCGGUGGGGGCGCUCGCGUCCCUACCAGCCCCCCGCGGCGAGUCGCCGCCGGACCGAGGAACCGCCGCGCGCUUCGAGGCCACCCUCCCUUCCGGGUGAGUUCGACUGGGAGAGACUGGGCAACCGUGUCUCCCGACCGCUCACUUGCGACUGGCGCGGGGCUGGCCGGGCGAGCACUUGGGUUGGUGGCAAGUCUGUCGGCAUUCCACCCGACCCGUCUUGAAACACGGACCAAGGAGUCUAACAUGCGCGCGAGUCAUUGGGCGGUACGAAACCCAAAGGCGCAGUGAAAGCGAGGGCCUGUCAAAGGGCCCAGGUGGGAUCCAAUCGCUUCCUCGGCUCUUUG
rnacentral:rRNA from 1 species